CGUUUUAGUAAUCAUUACGUUCUCACCCCGUGGCGGAAAAAUAUACGAGCUGUGGCGGUUUAGGAAAAUACCUGUAAAUGGCACAUCAUGCACGUGAGGUUAUCUGACGGAGAGACACAAAGCAAAGUUGCCAACUCUUGCAA